AUGAAUUCUGAAAGGGGUUGUAGCUGGCUGUUUCGUUUGAGCGGCAUGUGCACGCCCUGAUCAUUAUCCAUCUCACACACCUGUGCACAUACUGUAGGUCGGCUUUUGAUUGGAGUGGGGUCUUCAUCGACUCUGCUUUUUAGUUGGGGCCUUCCUAUGUUUUAUCACACACUACUUCAGUUAAAAGAAUGUCCUCUUGCGUCUAACGCAUUUAAAUA
rnacentral:misc_RNA from 1 species